rnacentral:lncRNA from 1 species
GAUACCUUUUGGGUCUCGGCGGAGGAGGCGAGACACCGGACCCGGUCGGGUCCGAUGGGGGCUCGGGAGAAGUUUCUUGCAGGGGCCGUGAGGAGACGGAGCCGCCAAUGACCGUUGGCAAGAUGGCGCCGGCUGAGCCGACCGCGCUCAGUUCAAAAGAAGACAAACAACAAGAGAGUGAAUGUUUGUUGUCUCGUCCCCCUCCCCCGUAUCCGAACCCCUCAGGCGGAACGUUGAGAAGAAGAAGAAUGAGAAAAGAAUGUGGAGACGGCCAAAUAGGGCAUGAUGUUGUCUGGUAUGAACCAAUCAGAGUGGGACAUGACAGCACGGUUUUGUAGGUAAAAAUGUAAUAUAAGCUGUGUUUUAGUAGUGAAUAGAG